rnacentral:hammerhead_ribozyme from 1 species
AUCCUGCUGAUGAGUCCCAACUGGAACGAAACGUGCGUCAUGGAU